rnacentral:tRNA from 1 species
GGGGCUGUAGCGCAGCUGGGAGCGUACCUCAAUGGCAUUGAGGGGGCCGAGGGUUCGAACCCCUCCAGCUCCACUA